rnacentral:rRNA from 1 species
UACGGAGGAUGCAAGCGUUAUCCGGAAUGAUUGGGCGUAAAGCGUCCGCAGGUGGCAGUUCAAGUCUGCUGUCAAAGACCGGGGCUUAACUUCGGAAAGGCAGUGGAAACUGAACAGCUAGAGUAUGGUAGGGGCAGAGGGAAUUCCUGGUGUAGUGGUGAAAUGCGUAGAGAUCAGGAAGAACACCCGUGGCGCAAGCGGCCACCUGGCUGCCAACUGGCGCUGAGGCACGAGAGCGUGGGGAGCGAACCGG